ACCUGGUUGGCUCAGGUGGUGGAGCGUGUGACUCUUGAUCUCAGGGUUGUAAGUUCAAGCCCCACAUUAGGUG
rnacentral:tRNA from 1 species